AGUCGGAGGUGGUAAAAUAAUAUCAAACACAGUUGGGAAAAAUACUGGAGUGAAUACUGAUACGGUAGUGUGUAUUUAAUGCUUUCCGUUUCCACGGUGUGGAGAGUAGCCCACUCAAAUACACGUACUCAUAUGAACCUUCACCACAAAGCACUUACAACGUUCAUUUCAAAGCAAAAGAAAAAUGCAGGUGUCUGCUUUCUGGCAUUCUUGUCUGCACAUACACGCGUGUGUGUCUGCGUGGUGACAGAAGCUCUGUGGAGAGCCAGGACAAGCAUUUCAGCCAGCUGAGCUUCGACUGGGGGAUUGCGCUGAUUAGUAUAAUGAAGAAGAGUCCACCGGCCAUUUUAAAAUGCCACCCACAGACUAUUCGCGCUAAAAGGCUUACUCCCCGAAGGCUCCGGUCGGGUGGAUGAAAAUAAACAGUACCACGUUGCAAAACUUUUUUUUUUUUUUUUGCUUUCCGUGUCAAGGAACCAAAAACCGGUUGUUUCACAGAGCCAGAACAAGCAGACUCUGGGGAGGUCAUUACCACUCCCCCCGCCCCCUUCCAGUUCAGCGGCGAGCCUUGCGUGGCAGUCAGCUCCGACCUUCAUUGUUUCUGCGGGCUACAAUAAGGCUUUCAUCAGCAACACUGAGGCUAGCACAGAGCACUCCUGACUGGUCACAGGGAAAGGUCAACAGCUUGACUUCUGGUGGUGUGGUAGCAGCAACACAGUGAGCAGCGAUAAGAUAGCAAAUUCCAGCUAUUUUAUUUCGCAAAUGGGCACUGCAUGGGGCAGGGGCAUGGUCAGAGUUUUGGCUUUGCCGUCCUCUGGUAAGGAAAGAGAUAACGGUCAUAAAUAUAGCCUACCCGUUAUCUGGGGGACUUCUGAAUGUUCGAGGGGGGGAUCAGAGUGGCUGUGAGCCCCGCUUGGGAGCGUGGUUGUCGCUGCGCCGAAUCCGCUAUCACCUCUCCUCACGUCACCGAGUGUGCCUUUCCCCAACACGGCACGGAAUGGCGUGUCACCUCCUAUCUCUGGAGUGCAGCGCUGAUAACCGCACUGAGGGACGGAGGACAUCUUUACCCCCAUGAGAGGUGCGCUGCUGCUUACGGCACGAGAGCGUGACCUUAAAGCACACCCUCUGCCGAGGAGCUGCGCAUCUAUUCAGAACACUGACACCACAAUGGCUAUUGCAACAUAACUAUAAAUGGCGAAUGGGUUUUUUAUUGACCGUGACAUAAUGGAUUUAUUUUCGAGUAAUUAGCUCUAGUGGCCCUCGUUAUUUCUGCUGAGAUCAUGCCCAGAAAUUACAUUGGCAGAGAAAGGUCAGCAGGACAGGAAGAUAUAGUCAUCGCUAUAGAAUAAAAAGUAAUAACGGGAGAAGCACUCAGAACCGUUACUAUAGCGAUGAUGAGAACGGGCAGCAGAUAACAAUGGAGUUUUGCGUGGUAUUGCGACCGUCUGCAAUGCAUUUUCUUUUAGGACACGUCAAUGAGGCUCUAGCUGUAGGCCUUUCGUUUCUUGUUUCCGCAGGUUUAAAAUGAACGAAACGCAUGCACGAGACACAUUUGGUACGACAUUGCAUCACUGAGUAAUACGAUCGGAAGCUCACACGGGUAUUCACGUGGCUUCGUGACAAUGUAGUUUAACAACACAAUGAAUAAGUUGUGAUGUAACUGCAACCUAGCACAUGUUUUCCUAUUCCUGAAUAUUAUUUUUUAAGAUAUUAAGUAAGAUAAAUAAUGGGAAUGGCCUACUGAGGAAAUCUGGCCCAAGCUGUUUAUGGAGUUAUCACCUUUUACCUACAAUUGAUCAAAAACAGUAUUGGUGUCAGGGGGACCAUGGCAUUACUGCCUUGCAUCAAUUAAGUGGGCCCUGUUCUGUCUAGCCAGCUCGCCAACAACAUUUCGCCUGAAUUCAUUUAUCACCUUUUAAAAUGUGCGAUGCUUGAACUGUUCUGGCAGCAUCGUGUAAGAAAAUAAAUCAGCCUUUAAACCCAUCCAAGAAAUUACCCUUCUUCACAACGAUGACACCUAUUGCUUUUUUAAAGGGCUAGAUAAAUGCAUAAAAUGUAUCAUUCGUAUAUUAAAUUAAAACAGCAACUGAAGGCAAACUAAAGCUAUGACCUUAAUCAACUCUCAAGUCAUUUUUUUAGUUCCGUAACAUCGACUGCAAUGCAAAAGAUCAGCGCAAUUAAGUUCCUGUUGAAAAAACCUAAUGACAAUGUCUGAUGUCAGGACACAAAUUAAACAUGGCCGCUUUCUGUGGUUGCUAUCAUUGAGGUCUCAGAAAACAUUUUUUUUUCCCCCAAGAGCCUUUAUUGUUUACAGCUGAAAUAAUAUUAUUCCUCAUUGUAGUACUAAAGCUCAGGGUUCAUCAUACCCCUUUCAACAGUACAAUGCAUCUUUCCCUCCAGGCACUGAAAACACACAAGCUUUUUCAUAUUAAAGGCAGAUCGGCUUCAAAUGCUGAACUUUCCCCUCAUACUGGACCUUUCGGCUCAUAACUCACACAUUUCUCACAGCGAGUUGCGCAAUACGCCAUAACUUUCUGAAAAUGUG